AGCGAUAUAGGGCUAUUAUGGCCCUCUUGUAUUUUUUUUUUCCAACAGCAAAGUUGAUGCCAUUGCAAAACUGACCUGGCAAUACCUGUAGGACUGUACAUGUAUGCAGCCCAAAUAUCCAAACUUAUUCACCUGAAUUGAAUGCUAUUAACUCUCCCUUCUAGCUCUGUGGAUGUAGAGCUAGGAUUCUCAAGCCAGCCAAAUUCACCAAUCGCUGUCUCAGUAUAGACACAGAUGAUGUGCGGAAGAACUUGACAUGGCUAGGGAAAUUGUAUGUGAUGAUGAUGAUGACAAUGCCGCUGAUGAUGAGGACUAAUGCACAGACAAGACCUCAUUGCUGUCAUUGCUGUCAAAACAGAGCUUAUAGACUUAUGAUGGACCUUGUUGAGUAAUAAUUACUAAAAAUAUGUAGUAACACUUGAGUUGAAUAAUAUGACUGAAGUUUAUUUAAAUUGCUCAACAGGCAGAAGAACCACCGGAAAUCGUGUUGGACCAGCAGUUUGCAAAAGUUGCUGGUCCUUUAGGCCACCACAUAAAAAAAAGUUAGUGUCUAGCCCUGAACGUGUCUAUGACUGAGCUUAACCGGCUAAACAGAUUUCCUAGUAUUUGUUGUAGAGUGCCAAUGAGAGCAUUUGACCAUUCAGCAUUGGAUUAUGUGGGACCUUUCAUUACUGUCCAAGGUCAAGGAAAACAGUCUGAAAUAAGAUAUUUAUGUCUGUUUACUUGUCUGAAAUCUCAUUUGGAAUAGAUACUGAUGCAUUUCUAAAUUCGUUUUAUCAAUUUGCUGGUUGUAGAGGUCUCCCAGGAACAGUUCUAUCGGAUAAAGAAACAAACUUUGUCGAUAGUGAAAAGGAACUCAGAUAAUUAAUAAACGUGCUGAAUAAUGAUCAAAUAAAAGAAAAGACAGUAAAUAAAUGAGUUCAGUGGCAUUUAAGUCCGCGUGUGGAGGGCAUAAUAAUCCCUCAAAAAUGAUUUCACGUUUGGAGGGCAUAAUAAUCCCACAAAAAUGAUUUUGCAUGUGGAGGGCAUAAUAAUCCCUCAUUAUAUUUUAAAAUAAAGAAGAAUAAAUAUUAUAUUAUAAUCUUGGAGAAAGAAAAAGACAUUUUUCUCUUUCAGGAAAAUAGAAGAUUCACUGUAUAAAAAGAUGAAGAAGAUUGUAUUCAUUACUAUGUAUUGUAAUUUUGACAUGUAUAUAUUUUCAGACAUAUAAUUGAAUUAUUGUAUCACAUGUGGCAAUUUUUCAAAAUGUUUAAAGUCAAUGAUACAAAAUUGAAAACAUGAAUACUUUUAUUAUUUGAACGUAUUGUAUUAAACUGUGUUAUACCAAAAGGUCAUAAAUUUUGUCAAAAUUAA
rnacentral:lncRNA from 1 species